rnacentral:rRNA from 1 species
GACGAACGCUGGCGGCGUGCUUAACACAUGCAAGUCGAACGGAAAGGCCCUGCUUUUUUGGGGUGCUCGAGUGGCGAACGGGUGAGUAACACGUGAGUAACCUUCCCUUUACUUUGGGAUAACUUCAGGAAACUGGGGCUAAUACCGGAUAGGAGCUCCUGCUGCAUGGUGGGGGUUGGAAAGUUUCGGCGGUUGGGGAUGGACUCGCGGCUUAUCAGUUUGUUGGUGGGGUAGUGGCUUACCAAGGCUUUGACGGGUAGCCGGCCUGAGAGGGUGACCGGCCACAAUGGGACUGAGAUACGGCCCAGACUCCUACGGGAGGCAGCAGUGGGGAAUAUUGCACAAUGGGCGGAAGCGUGAUGCAGCAACGCAGCGUGCGGGAUGAAGGCGUUCGGGUUGUAAACCGCUUUCGCCUGUGACGAAGCGGUAGUGACGGUAAUGGGUAAAGAAGCACCGGCUAACUACGUG